rnacentral:rRNA from 1 species
UACGUAGGGGGCUAGCGUUGUCCGGAAUCAUUGGGCGUAAAGCGCGUGUAGGCGGCCCGGUAAGUCCGCUGUGAAAGUCGGGGGCUCAACCCUCGGAAGCCGGUGGAUACUGUCGUGCUAGAGUGCGGAAGGGGCUACUGGAAUUCUCGGUGUAGCGGUGAAAUGCGUAGAUAUCGAGAGGAACACCUGCGGCGAAGGCGGGUAGCGUGGGCCGACACUGACGCUGAUGCGCGAAAGCCAGGGGAGCGAACGGG